UACGAAGGGGGCUAGCGUUGCUCGGAAUUACUGGGCGUAAAGCGCACGUAGGCGGAUUGUUAAGUCGGGGGUGAAAUCCUGGAGCUCAACUCCAGAACUGCCUUCGAUACUGGCGAUCUCGAGUUCGGGAGAGGUGAGUGGAACUGCGAGUGUAGAGGUGAAAUUCGUAGAUAUUCGCAAGAACACCAGUGGCGAAGGCGGCUCACUGGCCCGAUACUGACGCUGAGGCGCGAAAGCUAGGGGAGCAAACGGG
rnacentral:rRNA from 1 species